ensembl:miRNA xtr-mir-137-1 xtr-mir-137-3
GCUCUGUGGCUCUCUUCGGUGACGGGUAUUCUUGGGUGGAUAAUACGGAUUACGUUGUUAUUGCUUAAGAAUACGCGUAGUUGAGGAGAGUAUCUUCAGCA